rnacentral:misc_RNA from 1 species
AACGCACGAGACCUGCGGACCUGCGGAAGGAUCAUUAGCGAACUUGUGGAGAUGGGUUCUUGCCCCUCCCAACUUCCCUUCACCUCACUUGCGCACCGUGGGAGCAAGCGCUCCGUCGUUUUCUUUCUACCUAUCGAACGUUACAAGGCGACGCUGGAAAGCGAAACAAAAAAGAACACAACUUUUAGCAAUGGAUCUCU